rnacentral:rRNA from 1 species
UACGUAGGGUGCGAGCGUUAAUCGGAAUUACUGGGCGUAAAGCGUGCGCAGGCGGUUGUGCAAGACAGAUGUGAAAUCCCCGGGCUUAACCUGGGAACUGCAUUUGUGACUGUACGGCUAGAGUGUGUCAGAGGGGGGUAGAAUUCCACGUGUAGCAGUGAAAUGCGUAGAUAUGUGGAGGAAUACCGAUGGCGAAGGCAGCCCCCUGGGAUAACACUGAC